rnacentral:misc_RNA from 1 species
UUAACUAUUAGAUAGUACUCAGACGACAUGAACAUUCAGAGUUUAGGGUCCAAUGGCACGCGCGAGCCAGCCGAAGCCGGUACCCGAAGGCGGCGUGCCAAAGCAACAAAGAUAUAAUACACAAGGGUGAGGUUUGCUACCCGUGAGGGCAGCGAACACUGUAAUGAUCCUUCCGCAGGUUCACCUACGGAAA